rnacentral:lncRNA from 1 species
GGGUGGGUCAGGCCAGGGUGGGCUUCAGUGGGGAAAUGUGAACCAAGACGUAAAGGAUGUAAAAGUGAGCCAAUGGGUACUAGGGCAAGAGUGUUGUGGGUAGCUACAGCAGGAGCCUACAGCAGGAGCACGGGUACCACAGCGCAAGCAGGGAGGCUGGGGUAACAGUCCAGAUUAUGCAGGCCAGUGGAAGGGGCUUUAGCCCCUGCAAGGUUUUGAAUGGAGGAGUGUCACAAUCUAUCUAACCGUGUUAAAGGACUGCUCUGACUGCCACAUUGAAAUAACGCAAGGAUGGAGGUAGAGACGAGUUAGAGGCCAGACCCGAGGGUUGACGCUUCAUCCCAGAGAGGUACUGUGGGUGUAUUGGAACACAGAUGAAUUCUGGAUAUAUUAUCAACGUAGAUUCAAUGGGAUUCUCUGAUAGACUGGAAGUAAGUUUGAAAGAGAGAAGUCUGAAUGACACCAAGAUUUUGACCUGAGUAAAGGAAGAAUGGAGUUGCCAUUGACAAUGGUGGGGAAGGCUGCCAAUGGAGCCGGCUGCAGGAGGCAGGAGGAGGGGUCUGUUUUGGGUGUGUCAAGUUGUAGAAUAGACUAUGGAUCAUUCAAGUGAAGGAGGCAAUGAGACUACCGGUCAUUCAGUUCUGGAGUUCAAGAGAAAGGCCUGAGCUGAUAUUAAUCUGAGUUCUUAUCUGAAGCCAUUAGACUGGAUAAGAUCACGGAGAAUGUGGAUAUAGAUAGAAGAAGGGGGAAGAAGAGGGGGGAAGAAGACCAAGCCUAGACCUUUGAAGCAUCCCAAUAUUAAUUUGAUGGAGAAAAAGAGAUAGAGGAUCCACAGAGUUAAGGGGGAAAAAAAAUCCAGGAGAGCAGGGUGCCCUACAAGCCAAGUGAAAGAAAGAAAAGAGUUUGGGGAGGAAGAAGGAAGAGUGCUGGACUGAACCAACGCUGCUGAAAGGAGAAGGGGGUGAGGGCUUGGCACUGGGUUUAGCAUCGGUGACUUUGAGAAAUGCCACUCCAGUGAAGUAGUGGAGACAGAAGCCUAAUUACAAUGGAUGAAGAGCAAAUGGGCCAGGCCCAGUGGCCCAGUGGCUCUCACCUGUGAUCCCAGAGACUCUGGAGGCUGCGGCAGGAGGAUCAUAAAUUCGAGGUUAGCCUGGGCAAUUUACCAAGACCCUCUCUCAAAAUAAAAAGUAAAGAUGGGUGAGGAUGUAGCUCAGUGGUGAAGCACGCCUGGGUUCAGUCCCCAAUAUGGGGCAGGGUGGGGGCAGGGGAGUGGAUGGGAGGAGAAGAUUUGGGGACAGGGAGAAUAAAUUCUUUAAAGAAGUUGUGCCACAAAGGGGAGCAAAAGAAAUGUGUUGGGAGAGUAGAAUGAAGAAAAAGUUAAGAUAGGAGAAAUAACACAUUUGUGCAUGAAGGGAGUGAUCCAAUAGACAAGAAACUGUUGACCUUGCAGGAGAAACAAAGAUGAUUGAUAGAGGAAUGUCUUGGAAGAGGCUGGGGCAGGGGAUCUAGAGUACAAGUGGAGGGUUAACCAAGUGCAUCACCUGCUCAUCUAUGCCAGGGGUCAGCAAGCUUCUUCUGUAAUGGGCCACGCAUUAAAAUAUCUGUGAACAUUUUAGGUUUUGCAGGUCAAGAGGUCUCUGCUGCAACCACUCAACUCUCUCAUUGCAGCACAAAUGCUGCCAUAGAUAAUGCAUAAGGGGAUAAGCAUGGCCAGGGGGUGGGCAGGCUGGAUUUAGCCCUGGGCAGCAGUGUACCCAUCCCUGAUCCACGAGAGUAGGCAGAGAGCGAGAGUACAUGGGCAGACACUAGAAGGUGGGUGGAUGUGCCAGAGAACCUGUGCAAGUCCCUGUCUCAGAGAACUAGGCAGGAAGAUCGCCACCUGAGAUAGGGAAGGGGAGGAGCAAUUGUCUAGAAGACAGGAAGACUGAAUGGACUAAGAACUUGCCAUAUAACUGCCUCUCUGACUCCAGAGUCCACUUGGGGUUUCUAGCCAUGAAUUUCAAAUGAGACUGGUCAGCAUGGAUUGUAGGAUUUUUCUCUAAUCCCAUUCAGAUACUGAAAAGCUAUAGACAUGCCUAUUCCCUGUGGUCAAGGCAACUGGGAACACCUGCCACUAGACAAGGUCAAGUUUAUUGAGUGGAACAAGGGAGAGCAUAUGCCAUGAGACUCAGUAGGCUUCUCAAUAAGAGGCUGUUAGAACAGACUCCUUAUAGGAUUUGGGCUGGUGAUGGAUCAUUUCAGGGAAGCUUCAAGGAAAUGGAGCUCUUGUUCUGGACUGAACAGUCGAGAAACGGGGGCAAUAUCAUAAUGGGUCAUCUAGAUUCUUUUCUAGCAGGUAGGGAGGGAAGCAGCAUUCCCAUUGGCCAGGAAAGGGGAAUGUGUGGUCAUUUUUGUGGCUUGGACGAUGUUCUUAUUUUUAUUCUCUGCUCAAACAUGAUUAUGGAGUAUUCUUUUUAUUGUCUUGAUUCAUUUUGUCUGACGGCUGGUGUUCUGUGACAUCAGAUACAGAGAACACCACAGCCCAGCUCUGAACACCAGGCCAACUCCUAGAGACACCAAGGCCUACCCCCAGUGUCACAGGCUGUUCUUCUCUUUCACAGAUACUUUUCCCCAGAAAAUGCACAUUCACAAACAAAGCACACAUAGACAUACUAUUCCAGAGGCCCCCCAAAAGUUGUGCAGGGACUUCAUGACUGAAAACCGCUAUCCCAACAGCCACGAGCUUAGCAGCCAAAUUUAAAGGUUCUCAAGAGACAUGAAACAACUCUAGAUUAUGUUUCUGCAGGUUUUUCUCUACUCCUGAAAAGGAUUGAUUCUGUAUGUUUAACGUAUGAGAGAAGUGUGUUGCCAGGGACAUGAUCUCUAACUUUGGAAGAUUACAGUAGU